rnacentral:rRNA from 1 species
UCCGGUAACUAUUUCGCAGAGGAUCCACCCGUUCCCAUCCCGAACACGGAAGUUAAUCUCUGCAGAGCCGAUGGUACUGCAUUUUAGAAGUGUGGGAGAGUAGGUCGUUGCCGGAU